UCUGUCGCUCCUUCGCCAAGAAAAAAAUCCCUCUCCCGAUCCGCAACAGAGAAACCCUCGCCUCUCUCAAACGGAGCGCCGCUGCGCGGCUGUGCCGCCGCCGUCGUCAGUGGUCAAGCCGCGAUUCCCCGCCGCGCCGGCUGCCGGAUCCGCGUCCUGACCACCUGCCUCUCCUAGUCUCCUUCUGAUCUUCUCGAACUAUUGCUAAACUACAGUGCACGCACAGAUCCAGGUCCUUCUACUAUUGUGGGUGAAGAAACGAUGACCUUGAAUUAAGCAAGUCUUCAAUAAUUUGGUUCCAAACCAUUUUUGCAAUGAUGCAUUUUGUUAAACUAUUUGUUUAAUGGAAUUUUCUCUCGUGAGAAUAAUGAAUUCAUAUUUUGUUUUGAA